UACGUAGGUGGCGAGCGUUGUCCGGAUUUAUUGGGCGUAAAGGGCGCGCAGGCGGUGCGGUAAGACUGCCGUGAAAUCUCCCGGCUCAACUGGGAGGGUGCGGUGGAGACUGCCGGACUGGAGGCACUCAGAGGCCGGUGGAAUUCCCGGUGUAGUGGUGAAAUGCGUAGAGAUCGGGAGGAACACCAGUGGCGAAGGCGGCCGGCUGGGGGUGACCUGACGGCUGAGGCGCGAAAGCGUGGGGAGCAAACAGGG
rnacentral:rRNA from 1 species